AUUGAACGCUGGCGGCAUGCCUUACACAUGCAAGUCGAACGGCAGCACGGGAGCAAUCCUGGUGGCGAGUGGCGAACGGGUGAGUAAUAUAUCGGAACGUGCCCAGUCGUGGGGAUAACGUAGCGAAAGCUACGCUAAUACCGCAUACGAUCUAUGGAUGAAAGCGGGGGAUCGCAAGACCUCGCGCGAUUGGAGCGGCCGAUAUCAGAUUAGGUAGUUGGUGAGGUAAAGGCUCACCAAGCCGACGAUCUGUAGCUGGUCUGAGAGGACGACCAGCCACACUGGGACUGAGACACGGCCCAGACUCCUACGGGAGGCAGCAGUGGGGAAUUUUGGACAAUGGGCGCAAGCCCUGAUCCAGCAAUGCCGCGUGCAGGAUGAAGGCCUUCGGUUGUAACUUGCUUUUGUUACGGAACGAAACGGUAGA
rnacentral:rRNA from 1 species